rnacentral:lncRNA from 1 species
UUUGUUUGUUUUUUAGUUGUAGAUGACACGAUUUUUUAUUUUGUUUAUUUACUUAUUUUUAAUGUGGUGCUGAGGAUUGAACCCGGGGCCUCACACAUGCCAGACAAGACUCUACCACUGAGCCACAACCCCAGCACCUAUGUAUUUUUUUAAAUAAAUGUUUUAUUGUAAGAUCACUUUAGACUUACAUUUAGAUGUAAGAAAUAAGACAGACAUUUCGUGUACUCUUCACUUAGUUUCUUCCAAUAAUAACAUCUUGUAAAGCUGCAUACAGUUAUCACAGCCAGGAUACAGCCAUAGGGUCCGUGUUGACAACACUCCAGGGACCACAGUGAUCCCUGGGUUGCCCUUUGAGAGCCACACCCGCCUGCCUCCCCCAGCACUCCCUUGAGGCGCCCAGCAGCCACUGACCUCCAUUUUCAUAACUUGGUCGAUUACAAGUGCUGUGUGGGUGGAAUCGCUGUGUGUCACCUUUUGAGAUUGGCUCUUGCUCUGAGUCUGGUUCCCUGGAGGCCUGGCCAGGUUGCUCCCUGGGUAGUUCGUACCUGUCCAUUGCUGGUUUCAGUGUGCCACCAUUUGUUCAGCGAUCUGUCUGUCAAAGCAUACCUUGGUUGUUUCUUGCUUUUGGCUACUACCACAUACAGCUAUAAUUUGUGUGCAAGGUUUUGAACCCAAGUCUUAAUUUCUUUGGGAUAAAUGCCAAGGUGUGUAAUUGCUGGGUCUUUAAUUAGUUGGUGUGUAGGUUUUUUUUAAUAAGAAAUGACUGUCAUUUCUAGUGUUUUGCCUUUCUGUCAGCAAUGUGUCCGUGAUCUGUCUCUGCAUCUUCACUGACAUUUGGAGUUUCCCGUUGUUGUUGUUAUUUGUUUGUUUGUUUUUAAUAUUUUUUAGUUGUUGAGAGACCUUUACUUAUAUACAGUGCCGAGAACCGAACCCAUUGCCUCACACAUGCCAGGCAAGUGCGUGUGCUACUCUUGAGCCCAGCCCCGCCCCCCAUGUUUUUUAUGUUAGUCAUUCGAUACAUGUGUAGUGAAAGCUUGUUGUGCUUUUUAAUUUUCAUUUUCCUGACUAAUGAUGCUGAACAUCUUU